rnacentral:rRNA from 1 species
AUUGAACGCUAGCGGCAUGCCUUACACAUGCAAGUCGAACGGCAGCGGGGGAGCUUGCUCCCGCCGGCGAGUGGCGAACGGGUGAGUAAUACAUCGGAACGUACCCAGUAGCGGGGGAUAGCCCGGCGAAAGCCGGAUUAAUACCGCAUACGCCCUACGGGGGAAAGGGGGGGAGCGCAAGACCUCUCACUAUUGGAGCGGCCGAUGGCUGAUUAGCUAGUUGGUGGAGUAAAGGCCUACCAAGGCGACGAUCAGUAGCUGGUCUGAGAGGACGACCAGCCACACUGGGACUGAGACACGGCCCAGACUCCUACGGGAGGCAGCAGUGGGGAAUUUUGGACAAUGGGCGAAAGCCUGAUCCAGCAAUGCCGCGUGUGCGAAGAAGGCCUUCGGGUUGUAAAGCACUUUUGUCAGGGAAGAAAUCGUUUGGGUUAAUACCCCGAGCAGUUGACGGUACCUGAAGAAUAAGCACCGGCUAACUACGUGCCAGCAGCCGCGGUAA